GGGGGCCUACGGGGCGCAGCAGUGGGGAAUAUUGGGCAAUGGGCGCAAGCCUGACCCAGCAACGCCGCGUGAAGGAAGAAGGCUUUCGGGUUGUAAACUUCUUUUCUCAGGGACGAAGCAAGUGACGGUACCUGAGGAAUAAGCCACGGCUAACUACGUGCCAGCAGCCGCGGUAAUACGUAGGUGGCAAGCGUUAUCCGGAUUUACUGGGUGUAAAGGGCGUGUAGGCGGGAAAGCAAGUCGGCUGUGAAAACCAUGGGCUCAACCUGUGGCCGGCAUUUGAAACUGUUUUUCUUGAG
rnacentral:rRNA from 1 species